UUCCUGAAAACACAACAGAAAUGUGAAAUAAAGCACUUCUUACAAACAGCAAUUUUCCUUCAGUGUUUACUGGUAAACCAGUUUGCAUAAGAGGUAAAUUUCCCAUUAGUCAAUCACAGCUCCCCACACUGCCCCAUCCCCAGCCUCUUGUUCUCUCUCAGAAAAACCAUCAACUCAAACUCUAGCAGGAAGAACUCAGUAAAAGGAGAGAAAACCAUCAACUUUUGGUGGACUCUGAUCAAAGACUUCCCGGGAGGGAGAAGUGAGAUGUUUUCUGGAAUUUUUACCCCUGUUCCCUUGGCCAUGAUGAUCCUGCCAGUAAAACCCUCCUGGCGAAGCGUCUCUGCACACACCAGGGCAGCCACACCUAGAGGAGAUGCUCAUCUCAGCCCUCUUACACACCACUGUGGAGUAAGAGGAGCAGGCUGUUUUCAAGGUCCUAGAAAAAAAUGAGAAAAGCUGAAAUCAUGCCCAGCCCAAGGUGCUGCUCGUGCUCAGUGG